rnacentral:rRNA from 1 species
GACGAACGCUGGCGGCGUGGAUUAGGCAUGCAAGUCGAACGGUAUCAUCCUUUCGGGGGUGAGAGAGUGGCGAACUGGUGAGUAACACGUAGGUUAUCUACCCUCAAGACGGGGACAAACCCAGGGAAACUUGGGCUAAUACCGGAUGUGAGCAACUUUUAGUUGUUUGAAAGGUGGCGUAAGCUGUCGCUUGAGGAUGAGCCUGCGUCCUAUUAGUUAGUUGGUGAGGUAACGGCUCACCUAGGCAAUGAUAGGUAGGCGGCCUUAACGGGUGGUCGCCCACACUGGGAUUGAGAUACGGCCCAGACUCCUACGGGAGGCAGCAGUCGAGAAUAGUCUACAAUGGUCGGAAGACUGAUAGUGCGACGCCGCGUGAACGAUGAAUCCCUUCGGGGUGUAAAGUUCUUUUAUAUGUGAGCAGUGCUUCUUAUAUUUAACAGUAUGGGGAGAGAGAUAUUAGCAUAUGAAUAAGCAACGGCUAACCCGUGCCAGCAGCCGCGGUAAGC